UCCCCUCCCAGCAACAGCCCGGGGCCAGCUUCCCCCCCCCCCCCCCCCGGGGCGGUGGGGUGGGGGGAGAGUGCAGAGAAGCCCGACGCCAGGGCUCCAGGAGUUCCCGCCGGCGGGGCGGCACCGCGGCAAACAAGCAGGGGUUUGCACGGCGGCCGAGCCACAGCGCCCAGCCCCGGCCGGAAGCUGGGGGUGGAGAGGCCCAGCCCGGCCCACACCAGUCCUCCAGCUCCGGGCAGGGCCCUCCGAGGCCCCGCAAACCCCACCCCGUUCCUCUGGGCACCUCGUGGCCCAGGCGUGUUUGUUUACCAAUCCAGCUCCCUCCUCCCGCAGGCCAGCCCUGCGCCCGCCCCCGGGUGGCCGGGGUUCCGUGGGAGGGGGCAGCAGGGCCGGCCCCCGGCCGGCUCCCCUCGUCCCCCCUCCUCCCCGGCCCUCCCCUUCCUUCCUGCAGCCGGUGCCGCGCGCGGGCGGGCGGCUGCUCUCCCCAGAUCCGCCGGGGCCUUGUGCCUCUCCGGGGACGGGCGCGCUGCGGGUCAUGGCGCUUCGUUCUGUGCGCUCUCGGUUCUGGAGGGAAUGCAGGGCCGCCUGACCCAGGAGAGGAAGACGGGGAAACCGCCUGGGUUUCGGUUAGAAGGGGGAACUUCACGUUUGAGUGGCGGGCCCCAGGUCCCCGCGCGGCGCGGUGGGGCGGGUGAGGGGGCCUUUUUCCCCACCGCCUGGGGUCUGGGUGUUUGGGGAAGGGAAAUGUUUUUUGAUGGUGAUGCGUUUGUUCCAAACUGGAAUCCCCAGGGGUCAGAUUUACUUAACUGUCCAGAAAAGCUCUCUUCUUCUAAUGUUUUUGGGCUGUAGGCUGGCCUCUGGCCCGCCCUGGUUUCCCUGAAGGCCGGGGAUUGGGGAACUGAAUGAGUCUCUGAACAGUUUCUCUUCCUCGGGCCGCCCCCACCUCCAUGCCUCAGACCACCCUUGCUUUUAUUGGGCACAGGAUCUUCACAUCCCUGAGGCCCUCAGCGGGCCUUAGAAUCCGAAAGAAUAUUCGAGAAGGUUGGGCCAGAGUCAGCGUCCAACAAUAACUGGAUUGUCUUGUUCACCAUCCCCCCUCCAGCUUUCUCUUCCUCCUCCAGGGCCUUCAAGACCCCCAGAGCCAGUGAGAACUGAAUGCAUGCCUGGCUAGUACCAGGUACAGUGUAGGCAGGCAUCAAUCACGCAGCUGCUCGCAGCCAGAGACAAAGACAGCAGAGGCACAGAGUGCCUGCCGUGGCUGGUGCUAUGCCGGGCAAAUGCUGGAAGUGGAGCAACUGGGAUUUGAACUGGGAAGCUGGUGUCGCAGGCAGGAGCUUAAGGUGCUGCAGGACAGGCUGCCUCUUACCCAGCUGUUUCUAAUGGAGGUGUGUGAAGGGAAGAUGCUGUUUAGAGUCUUCAAUACCCGCCGGAGGCAGAGUGGACAGUGAGAGAGACAGAGAGAAAGGUCUUCCUUCCGUUGGUUUACCCUCCAAUAGCCGCUGCGGCUGGCACACCGCGCUGAUCCGAAGCCAGGAGCCAGGUGCUUCCUCCUGGUCUCCCAUAUGGGUGCAGGGGCCCAAGCACUUGGGCCAUCCUCCACUGCCCUCCCAGGCCAUAGCAGAGAGCUGGACUGGAAGAGGGGCAACUGGGACUAGAACCCGGCACCCAUAUGGAAUGCCGGUGCCACAGGCAGAGGAUUAACCAAGUGAACCACGGCGCUGGCCCCU